CCUACGGGAGGCAGCAGUAGGGAAUAUUGGGCAAUGGGCGAAAGCCUGACCCAGCCAUGCCGCGUGCAGGACGAAGGCCCUCUGGGUCGUAAACUGCUUUUGACGGGGAAGAAAAGGGCUAUGCGUAGCACAUUGACGGUACCCGCAGAAUAAGCCACGGCUAACUACGUGCCAGCAGCCGCGGUAAUACGUAGGUGGCAAGCGUUGUCCGGAUUUAUUGGGUUUAAAGGGUGCGUAGGCGGCUUGAUAAGUCAGCGGUAAAAGGUAGCAGCUUAACUGUUUUACUUGCCGUUGAUACUGUCGAGCUUGAAUGUACGGGAGGCAGAUAGAACUCCUGAUGUAGCGGUGAAAUGCAUAGAUAUCAGGAAGAAUACCGAUUGCGAAGGCAGUCUGCUGUAGUACGAUUGACGCUGAGGCACGAAAGCAUGGGGAUCAAACAGGAUUAGAUACCCUGGUAGUCCAUGCCGUAAACGAUGAUUACUAGCUGUUAGUUUAAUUAUUAGUGGCUAAGGGAAACCGAUAAGUAAUCCACCUGGGGAGUACGCCGGCAACGGUGAAACUCAAAGGAAUUGACGG
rnacentral:rRNA from 1 species